UUCUCUCUCUCCCUCUCUCUCUGCCCCUCCUCUGCUUGUGCGCAUGCUCGCUCACUCUCAAAAGUAAAUAAACAUUGAAAACAAAAUAUGCCAUUGACAGAAGUGGGAGAGGUUGGGGCUAUGGGUACAUUUGGGGGAAUGUAACUGCAAAUUCCAUCUGAGAGAAAUAAACGAGGUGGAGAGAUACAGAAAGUGGGGUUUCCUGUAAGCACUUGUUACCGUGGGACUAGAACCAAGCCCACUAACAUCACCACUGGGUUCUAGAAGAUGCUCUGUUGGUGGAGGCAGGAAGGAGUAAACCAGAGAAACAGGUAAACCUGGGAGGACAGUGCAGAGGGGAACUGACUACACCUGAAGUCAGUCUCCAGCAGGAGAAGAGGCAGUGGCAGUGACAGAAACACACACACACAGUGUGAAGAAGGAUGAAUUGACCUGUCCAAGGUCAGGCAAAUACUAACCACCAAGAAGGGGUAGGAAACCAGAUUCGUUGAGUCUCAAACCCUCCUUCCCACCAUCCCUACUCUUCUCCUACAAGAAAAGAGAUGCGAUCAGGUACCCAAGAAGACGACAAAGAGGAACAUCCCCGUGGUCGCGCAGAAGGAGCCUCCCAGAGAUGCUGAGUUGCGAGAGCCCACGCUGCAGCAGCACGUGGCCCGAGAUCCUAGCGCCGCGAGCGGAAACCCGAGCGCCUUUAUCCUCUCUGCGCCCGAACCCGCCCCUCCGCUCACCAAUCCCUUUCUUCAGCCCGCGCCCGGGCGGCGGCUCCAGGUCAGCAAGGGGCCGGGGUGCCGGAGGGGUGUGUGCGGAGGGAGGGCUCCCGUUGCCUUGGCAACCCUCCCCCGCCAGUAUAGGCCUCCGCCUCCGACCGACCCGGUGGAGAAUUAAGCCACCGCGAGGGACGCGCGCGGUACCGGGCUUCGGCGGUGCCAGCCUGCCAGCCUUCACGGGGCACCUUCAGGGUGCCGGCAGCUCUGCGAGGGCGUCCCACUACACGGAAAUCGGCCCCGCCGUACGCCUGAGAACCGGCUCGGGCUGCUGUUGAGCAGCUCCGCAGGGAACCUGGGGAUGAAGGCAGGACGCCGAAGAGGAAGCUGGAAGGAUUGGCUCAGGAAAUACCCCGGGACCCGGAGACAGGAGACCUGGCUUUUUAACCUCUCAGGAGACUUCAGAGAUUAUGAAGGGCACCAUACCCCCUUCACAGUGGAAAAGGCGAAGACCCUUCCAGAAGCCAAGAGAGAGGCACUUCCAGUGGAUUUGAAUCCUGGUUGGAGUGGUUAGAGAGGCUGAAAACAGCAGAACCGGUCCCCAGCAACCGAGGUCCCCUCCAAGAAGCACUGAAAAAUACUCCAAUAUCUGGACAUACUACAGUUUAACCAUUCACCACUCCCUUGUAAUCUUGGUUGCUUCCAAGGAAUCUUGGUUGCUUCCAAGCUUUCUCAAUUGUGAAGAAAACAGCAGUAAAUAUCCAUGUGCAGGUUUUUGUGUGGAUGUAAGUUUUCAACUCCUUUGGAUAAACACGCAGGAGAACAACUGCAGGAUUGUUUGGUAAGAUUUGUUUAGUUUUGUGAGGAAACUCCCAAACUGUCUUCCAAAGUGGCUGUACCAUUUUGCAUUCCUACCAGCUAACAAUAAAAGUGCUUGA